UCUUUCUAAUUAAUUCUUGAAUUAAACUCUUUUAAUUCUUAUAAAUUUAUAAGUCAAGAUUGAUGUUUAGCAAUGUGUCAUGACUAUCCAAAAGAGAUAAAAUUUGAUAAAAAUAUCAAAAAUAUCCUUCAGUGGUAAGUUACCAUGUAAUUCAAUCCUUCAGUCAAACAACACCCCAGAUAAGCUUUGGGCAUGGAAUCAUGUCAAGCCCAAUUAUUUAUCUAAAUGUAUCUCGAUUAGAAGGUGAUAAAUCAGUUGAUGAUGCAUUAAAAAUCUCUUUCUAAUUAUCAUCUUGCUUUGGCCAAAGACUUCCAAAAUCAUCCACC
rnacentral:lncRNA from 1 species